UGUGCUGCGUACUUUUAAAUUAUUCUUGUUUUAUGAAGAUUUGGGCUAGCCACACUCUUUUCACCUCACAAUCACGUGCACGUUCAAGCGUACGUGUAUGUUGUCAUCUUGCAAGUUGGAUACACUGCUCAUACCUACCAGCUUGUGAACACGACAAUAAAGGUUUAACUGAC